rnacentral:rRNA from 1 species
AUUGAACGCUGGCGGCAGGCCUAACACAUGCAAGUCGAGCGGAUGAAGUGAGCUUGCCCCUGUCUUCAGCGGGGGACUGGCGAGUAAUGCCUCGGAAUCUGCCUGGUAGUGGGGGAUAACGUCCGGUCACGGGCGCUAAUACCUCAUCCGUCCGACAGUAGUCAGUUGUUCCUCUUCAGAAUUCCAGCUAUCACAUGAUUCUAGGUCGGAUUAGCUAUUUGGUUGGUUAAAGGCCUACCACGGUGACCAUCCGUAACUGGUCUGAGAGGAUGUUCAGUCACACUGGAACUGAGACACGGUCCAGACUCCUACGGGAGGCAGCAGUGGGGAAUAUUGGACAAUGGGCGAAAGCCUGAUCCAGCCAUGCCGCGUGUGUGAAGAAGGUCUUCGGAUUGUAAAGCACUUUAAGUUGGGAGGAAGGGCAGUAAGUUAAUACCUUGCUGUUUUGACGUUACCAACAGAAUAAGCACCGGCUAACUUCGUG